rnacentral:rRNA from 1 species
GACGAACGCUGGCGGCGUGCCUAACACAUGCAAGUCGAACGGAGUUCCUUCGGGGACUUAGUGGCGAACGGGUGAGUAACGCGUGAAGAACCUGCCUUUCAGUGGGGGACAACAGUUGGAAACGACUGCUAAUACCGCAUAAUGUUAUUUGAGGGCAUCCUCGGAUAACCAAAGAUUUAUUGCUGAAAGAUGGCUUCGCGUCUGAUUAGCUAGAUGGCGGGGUAACGGCCCACCAUGGCGACGAUCAGUAGCCGGUCUGAGAGGAUGAACGGCCACAUUGGGACUGAGAUACGGCCCAGACUCCUACGGGAGGCAGCAGUGGGGAAUAUUGGGCAAUGGGGGAAACCCUGACCCAGCAACGCCGCGUGAAGGAAGAAGGGCCUUCGGGUUGUAACCGUCUGUCCUAUGGACGAAGAAGUAGACGGUACC